CAGAAGGUGUGAAAUAUGGAUUGUGGCGAUGAUGGGAUGGUCCCUGGAAAGCUAGCGAAUUCACCUACAUUCUUCCCACCCGGAUGUUUGGAGACGAGGAGGGUGUUCAUCCAUGCGGGAAUCUGAAGUCACAUCCUGAUGUAGCACACUUCGGGUCUGGGUGAACUCUGUUAGCAUCUCCAGCGACAUUCUCUCCUCCAGCUAAUCAACAACACUUUAAAAGGUUCAAUCUGUCUGGAUUACCAUGGCGGCAGUGUGGCUUGUGGUGCCCCUCUUGACAAUAACCUCCGCAGUGCUAUCAAGCAAUGGUGCUCUGACACAGCGACCUGGAAAGAGAACCGAAAACAGCCACCUUUACAAUGUCUCGCAACGAACGCAAGUCGGGAAUAUCAUAAAAGCGUGGACAGAGGAGAACAAAGGGCCGAGAGAAUAUCACGGCAAUAGAUUCCGUUCGUCAUCAGAUUUAACAAGGAACAGGGUGAGAACAUUAAAA